rnacentral:misc_RNA from 1 species
UUGAGGCAAUAACAGGUCUGUGAUG